AAAUUAAAGCCAAUGUGGAAAUUAGUGUUGCUUUAGUCAACGAAAAUUAUGACUAAAUAUCAACGUCAACGAACCUUUAUCACGUGACAGAAACGGGAGGAGACGGGACGUCAUGGGACUAAAACUAUAAUCAAAUAUAUAAUGUAAUAUUGUUGACGAAUAAAAACGGGACUAAAUGUGGUUUACAAAAUGAAAACUCUGCUAAUAUACGUCUUAAUUUUCGUUGACCAAAACGAGAUGGGAUGUAAUGUCAUUGCGUUAUUUAGUGUCACUUUUAUCUUGUAUUAUUUCUGUUUCCUGGGUCUCAGUUCAGCAGGUGCAUCAGGUCUCACUGCGCAGACGCAGGCGACGUCACUUCCUCUAUCCCCACUCAUGCGGCAUUAUGUGGAAGAUGGAGCUACGGAUGGUUAAGUAUAACGACAACUGAAGAAACAAAGUUAAGUCUGACACAACGAAAGGGAUUGAUGGCCAGCCAGGCGGGGUUUGUUUUGGGGAGAAAAAGAAGAAAUGACAUUUGGACACACUUUCAUUAUGUAGAAGUGGAAAAGAAAAAUGAGUGUCUUGUGGAAAAAGAUGGGGAGAAAUGUGGCCGUAAAAUCGCAGGAAUAAACACCACAAAUCUUAAGAGACAUCUCAAGGCAUUCCAUAAUGAAAUUGAGAUUCCAGAUGGAGCAUCAGUGAAGCAAGUCCCGCCCAAGAAGAUGGAAAAGCCAGCUGGGGCUCAAGAUUUCUUUGCCACACGGAGGUACAAUGACAACUCCCCAGAACAACAUACCAAAGAGGAGGCGAUAGCACAGUGGAAAGGCCGCACAGGACUCCCAGCACGAAUUGUUGAAGAUGAGGAGUUCGUUGUCAUGAUGGCAAAAAUGGACAGAAAGUUCAAAGUGCCAAAAAGACAGAAAACAAACAAACUUGAUUGAAAAAAUGUACAAAGAAGAGAAAGUAAAGCUCAAACAAAACCUGGCUACAUCAUGUAGAAUAACUACAGGGCUGGAUAUUUGGACUAAAAAGGGGCUUACAGCAUCCUUCCUUGGAAUUAGCGCCUGUUACUUCAACCCAGAGGACAACAAGGCUGAACACAAACUCCUGAGCCCGAAGGAGAUGGUUCACCCUCACACCGCAGAGUCUAUUAGUACACUUUUGGAGGAGUCAAUGGAAGAAUGGGAGAUCCCCAGAGAGAAGGUCCUCACAACAAUUACUGACAAUGGCAGCAAAAUGAUUGCUUCAUUCCACACACAUGCAGAAGUUGCCACAACUUUAGAAGAGGACUCAGAGGCAGAGCACGACGAUGAGCAUCAGGAAGGGGAGGAUGACAGGUACGACUAUGGAGCCAUAGAGAGGACCCCAUGCAUGGUUCACACCCUACAGCUUGUAGUGAAUAUGUUGCUGAAGGAACCCCCAAUCCAAAGACUGUUGGAGAAAGUGAGGUACUUGGUGAACAAUUUUAGGAAAUCAUCUGUCGCCACAGAACGGCUGCUGCAGAAGUGUGCUUUGGUUCUGGUAAAAGACUGUCCCACCAGGUGGUCAAGUUGCUAUGCCAUGAUGUCAUGCUGCCUUGAAGUCAGGGAGCACCUCACAGCUGUGGCUGAGUCCAUGGGCUGGGACAGCCUGCCCACUGA